ACCCUUCGGGGUUAGUGGCGGACGGCUGAGUAACACGUGGGUAACCUACCCUGAAGUGGGGAACAACCCGCCGAAAGGCGAGCUAAUACCGCAUACGAUCACCUGUCCACGGGUGGGUGAGGAAAGCCUUCGGGCGCUUUAGGAUGGGCCUGCGGCCGAUUAGCUAGUUGGUGGGGUAAAGGCCUACCAAGGCGAUGAUCGGUAGCUGGUCUGAGAGGAUGAUCAGCCAGACUGGGACUGUGACACGGCCCAGACUCCUACGGGAGGCAGCAGUUAGGAAUCUUGGGCAAUGGGCGAAAGCCUGACCCAGCAACGCCGCGUGGGUGACGAAGGCCUUCGGGUCGUAAAGCCCUUUUCCCAGGGAUGAUGAUGACAGUACCUGGGGAAUAAGCCCCGGCUAACUACGUGCCAGCAGCCGCGGUAAUACGUAGGGGGCGAGCGUUGUCCGGAUUUAUUGGGCGUAAAACGCUUGUAGGCGGCCACGCCGCGUCGUGCGUGAAAUCUCCCGGCUCAACUGGGAGGGGUCGUGCGAUACGGGCGGGCUCGAGGCAGGUAGGGGGAAGCGGAAUUCCCGGUGUAGUGGUGGAAUGCGUAGAUAUCGGGAGGAACACCAGUGGCGAAGGCGGCUUCCUGGACCUGAUCUGACGCUGAGGAGCGAAAGCGUGGGGAGCGAUCCGGAUUAGAUACCCGGGUAGUCCACGCCGUAAACGGUGCGCACUAGGUGUCGGGGGUAUCGACCCCUCCGGUGCCGCAGCUAACGCAUUAAGUGCGCUGCCUGGGGAGUACGGCCGCAAGGCUAAAACUC
rnacentral:rRNA from 1 species